GCUGAACUGGCCGGGCGUUGUUCUUGUAGACCGGAGCCAAUGGCAACUUUAGUGCUUUUAUCUGUUCCUUCGAAAUCGUCUUCGCCUGCGAGGUCUCCGAGUGCAACGUAAACCUCUUUGUUGGUGCCGGUUCCAUUCGCUAACGCCGCCAAUUUGUCUUGUACCUGCAAUUUCGCCGGGCGAUUUUACGGGGAUCGGGAUCGCCGUAUUGGAGGAGGAUUCCUAUGACUGAGAGGCUGAAAUCGUCUGCUUGAUGGACUAGAUGAAGUUCGGCUGCAAAUCUGUUCGAAUCGGAAAGUUCGCGGAGGUCAGUUGAAAUCCAAAACUACAAAAAAAUUAUCUAACAGAUGAAUUUGUCCUGAUUUAGCCUAUAUUCAUGCGGUGAUUCAACUCUGCUCACUCACAAUUAGUUAAGUAGAAAAAAAAAAUCUAGGUUGGGCAGUCUGAUAACUUGGUGGGCUUGGGCCUAUAAUGGGCCAGCCCAAAGAGAGAAAAGACGAGAGAGAGAGAAAGAGAAAGAUGGGUAAACU